GGAAAAAAUAAUAAUAACACAACUAAUCAAUUCAAAAUCGUAUUUCCAUUUCCCCCAAUUCACGCAAGAAAUAUCUUUCCCAAACCAAUCUUCCUAUACUCCCGAUCACCGUCACUGUCGAUGUGAGCACCCCCUUCACCAUCGACGCCAACAAUUGCUACCUGGGAACAGAAAAUUAGACGCCACAUUCACCAACAUAUAUGACGCGGCACUCGCCUCCCUUCCCUGCCACACUCCAUGAGGGUUAGAAUGUAAAUAGUUGUGGUCGUAAUUUAGCUAUAUUUUUCUGUGUCUUCUUCUAAAUUGUUGAUUUUUUCAGCGAUUGUCGUCUUCUAAAGUUUUGUUUUUGGAUUUUCCAUUUUUUAUUUUGUAUUCUUCUAAAUUCCUUGUCGCCAAUGUUGAAUGAUACGAUGUGCAUAAUAUGAUCUUGUUAAGUAAAGUGUUGAUUUUUUAGCGGUUGUCGUCUUCUAAAGUUUUGUUUCUGGAUGUGGUUUAUUUAUUAUUAUUUUUUUGUAUUCUUUUGAAUUUAAUGUCGCCAAUGUUGAAUGAUAUGGUCUGAAUAAUAUGAUUUUGUGGUUACGAAUUUGUACAAAGAAUCAAUUCAUUUGUUAACGAGCUUAGGUUUUUGCCGAGGUUUUUUACAUGGAUAAUGAGGUUUAGGUUGUUGAUGUGGAAUUUUGCAACUGAGAUGCAUUCAUCUUUGUUUAUUUGUUUGUCCAGCCCGGAUUGACUACAAUGAGAGGAAGGAAUAUAGGAGUUUGUCACAGUUGCAGAAGCAACACUCAUUACUUUGGACAAUGCUAAACAAAGCGUCGAUGCCCUUCAUGUAAACACGGAUAUCGCAAUUGUUUUGAGAUGGAACGGGAUACUAGUAACAAAGGGCGAUUGUUCUUUACCUGUAGUAAUGAUUGUGGAUAUUUCGACUAGGUGAAAGAAGAAGUGCUAAGUGGGGAGUCAAGUUCCGUUAACGAAGCGAUGAAUCAUGAGUCCAAUGUGGAAGAUGAAGAUUUGCCAAGACUCUUUGACGGUCUAGCUCGAAUUAGUGAAAAACGAGGCGUGGACAUAUCAAUGCACUUGAGUUUCAGCAAGGGAAAGGGCAUUGCGAAGUGCGAUGGGAAAGGAAAGGGUUCGACUUGAACGGUUUAUUUGAUGUAUGGGUAAUCUUAUCAAAACUGGUCAUUGUACGAACGAUUGUUAUUAGAUUCGUCGUAAUAUAUGUUAUGGUUGCUAGAACCUUUACGACAUACUUAUUCUCGAUUUUUUUUUUUUUUUUGCGAACAUCCUAGCUAAAUUGUUUAACAAGAAAGACUUGUCAUUAAAGUCUUCUACUGUUAUUGUGCAGUCUUCAAUGUUUGUUGUAUAUUGUGUCACUGGUUUAUAUUGUACAUCCACUCAGUUUCAGCAAUCUAGCCCAUUAUCCAUUUAUUGUUACAUUCAGGUCUUUCCUGUUAGAGUAAAUAUAUGGAAUAUAAGGCUUU
rnacentral:lncRNA from 1 species